rnacentral:rRNA from 1 species
UACAGAGGGUGCAAGCGUUAAUCGGAAUUACUGGGCGUAAAGCGUGCGUAGACGGUUAUGUAAGUCAGAUGUGAAAGCCCCGGGCUCAACCUGGGAAUGGCAUUUGAGACUGCAUAGCUAGGAUGCGGAAGAGGGAAGUGGAAUUUCCGGUGUAGCGGUGAAAUGCGUAGAUAUCGGAAGGAACAUCAGUGGCGAAAGCGACUUCCUGGUCCAGCAUCGACGUUCAGGCACGAAAGCGUGGGGAGCAAGCAGG